rnacentral:rRNA from 1 species
AAUGAACGUUGGCGGCGUGGAUUAGGCAUGCAAGUCGAGCGAGAACCCCGCAAGGGGGGACAGCGGCAAACGGGGUAGUAAUGUGUCGGAACGUGCCCUGAGGUCGGGGAUAGCGGCGGGAAACUGCCGGUAAUACCCGAUGAUCUCGAGAGAGCAAAGGUGUGAUUCCGCCUUUGGAGCGGCCGACAUGGUAUUAGCUAGUUGGCGGGGUAACGGCCCACCAAGGCUGUGAUGCCUAGGGGAUGUGAGAGCAUGAUCCCCACCAUUGGGACUGAGACAAUGCCCAGACACCUACGGGUGGCUGCAGUCGAGAAUCUUCGUCAAUGGGCGAAAGCCUGAACGAGCGACGCCGCGUGUGGGAUGAAGGCCUUUGGGUUGUAAACCACUGUCGAGGGGGAUGAAGGCUUGAAAGUCAUCUUUCAAGUUUGACAGAGCCCUGGAGGAAGCACGGGCUAAGUUCGUGCCAGCAGCCGCGGUAAUAC